GUUAAGCCAUGUUUCCAGAGUAUUUUUUUCUAGAAAAUUGUUCGUUUUUUGUUCUGAAAAGGUUCAAAUACAUGUACUAUAAUUUGUCAAUCGUAACAUAACGAACUGGACAUAACACCAUGCAGCAUGAUGUAAUAAAGAUCAUUUUGAAACAGUUA
rnacentral:lncRNA from 1 species